UUGACCUCGAAUCAGGUAGGGAUACCCGCUGAACUUAAGCAUAUCAAUAAGCGGAGGAAAAGAAACCACC
rnacentral:rRNA from 1 species